GACGAACGCUGGCGGCGUGCUUAACACAUGCAAGUCGAACGGAAAGGCCCUGCUUUUGUGGGGUGCUCGAGUGGCGAACGGGUGAGUAACACGUGAGUAACCUGCCCUUGACUUUGGGAUAACUUCAGGAAACUGGGGCUAAUACCGGAUAGGAGCUCCUGCUGCAUGGUGGGGGUUGGAAAGUUUCGGCGGUUGGGGAUGGACUCGCGGCUUAUCAGCUUGUUGGUGGGGAAGUGGCUUACCAAGGCUUUGACGGGUAGCCGGCCUGAGAGGGUGACCGGCCACAUUGGGACUGAGAUACGGCCCAGACUCCUACGGGAGGCAGCAGUGGGGAAUAUUGCACAAUGGGCGGAAGCCUGAUGCAGCAACGCCGCGUGCGGGAUGACGGCCUUCGGGUUGUAAACCGCUUUCGCCUGUGACGAAGCGUGAGUGACGGUAAUGGGUAAUGAAGCACCGGCUAACUACGUG
rnacentral:rRNA from 1 species